CCUACGGGCGGCAGCAGUGGGGAAUAUUGGACAAUGGGCGAAAGCCUGAUCCAGCCAUGCCGCGUGUGUGAAGAAGGCCUUCGGGUUGUAAAGCACUUUCAGUGGGGAAGAAAGCCUUGGGGCUAAUACCCUCGAGGAAGGACAUCACCCACAGAAGAAGCACCGGCUAACUCCGUGCCAGCAGCCGCGGUAAUACGGAGGGUGCGAGCGUUAAUCGGAAUUACUGGGCGUAAAGCGCGCGUAGGCGGUCUGAUAAGCCGGUUGUGAAAGCCCCGGGCUCAACCUGGGAACGGCAUCCGGAACUGUCAGGCUAGAGUGCAGGAGAGGAAGGUAGAAUUCCCGGUGUAGCGGUGAAAUGCGUAGAGAUCGGGAGGAAUACCAGUGGCGAAGGCGGCCUUCUGGACUGACACUGACGCUGAGGUGCGAAAGCGUGGGUAGCAAACUGGAUUAGAUACCCCAGUAGUC
rnacentral:rRNA from 1 species